rnacentral:rRNA from 1 species
UGGAGGAAUUACUGACCAGACGCUCAGCAGGGCCUUAUCUUUGUUGUUGACGGCAACGACAGAGAUCGUAUUGCUGAGGCGAGACCAGUGCUCCACAGAAUGCUGAAUGAGGAUGAGCUGCGCGAUGCUGUGUUGCUUGUUUUUGCUAACAAGCAAGAUCUUCUGAAUUCCAUGAGUGUUGCUGAAAUAAUAGAUAAGCUUGGCCUUUUGCCUUUGCGUCGGCGAUGCUGGAGAGUUUAUUUGUGUUCCGCUGCAACUGGGGAAGGCAUGUAUGAUGGGUUGGACUGGCUCAACAAGAGUUUAGCCUACAAGGUAAUUUGCAUUUUCACUCCUAAAUGGCAUUUAAGUACGAAUCAAGAUUUCCCUCUAAGUAGCAUAGCUUCAAUAUUUUGA